UACGAAGGGGGCUAGCGUUGCUCGGAAUCACUGGGCGUAAAGGGUGCGUAGGCGGGUCUUUUAAGUCAGGGGUGAAAUCCUGGAGCUCAACUCCAGAACUGCCUUCGAUACUGCAUUGCUGGAGUAUGGAAGAGGUAGGUGGAACUGCGAGUGUAGAGGUGAAAUUCGUAGAUAUUCGCAAGAACACCAGUGGCGAAGGCGGCCUACUGGUCCAUCACUGACGCUGAGAUGCGAAAGCGUGGGGAGCAAACAGG
rnacentral:rRNA from 1 species